CACGUAGGGCGCAAGCGUUGUCCGGAAUUAUUGGGCGUAAAGAGCUCGUAGGCGGUUUGUCGCGUCUGCUGUGAAAACUCGGGGCUUAACUCCGGGCCUGCAGUGGGUACGGGCAGACUAGAGUGCGGUAGGGGAGACUGGAAUUCCUGGUGUAGCGGUGAAAUGCGCAGAUAUCAGGAGGAACACCGGUGGCGAAGGCGGGUCUCUGGGCCGUAACUGACGCUGAGGAG
rnacentral:rRNA from 1 species